AGAAUUAAAGUAGAUGCAUCCACGAUCCCUUUCCUUGCACCUGCAUACCCUUUCAUGGCUACUGCACAUGUGGCUUUCCAACUACGCACGUGCCGUGCUGCAAAUCCUGCUCUGCAAGACCUCCUGCAGUCCACCGGAGAGAGAUCACAACUUCCCUCUUACAGUACCCCCAUCAGUAUCUCACAGCCAGCCUGCAAGCCAAACACAGUCUGAUGAGGAGGAACAGCCUGAUCCUUCCACUUCUGCAACAUCCAGGCAGAGUAUUACAUGAUUACAUGUCAUAAGCCUCCAAGACGCAGCCCUUUGCCCUCCCAGGAGGAGACUGCUGGGC